GUUUUACUUCAGCAGCACAUACACUAAAAUUGGAACAAUACAGAGAUUAGCAUGCCCUCUAUGCAAAGAAUGACAUAUAAAUUUAUGAAAUUUUCUAUAUUUUU